CGUCCAGUGGCGGAUGGUCCGCGGUUGCUGCCAAUGAGGAUCAUUGGCGUCCAUUUGUUGCAACAGUUGCUCGUUCGAUCCGAGCCUGGGCGA